UGAGGAAUAUUGGUCAAUGGGCGAGAGCCUGAACCAGCCAAGUAGCGUGCAGGAUGACGGCCCUAUGGGUUGUAAACUGCUUUUAUAUGGGAAUAAAGUGAGGGACGUGUCCCUUAUUGCAUGUACCAUAUGAAUAAGGACCGACUAAUUCCGUGCCAGCAGCCGCGGUAAUACGGAAGGUCCAGGCGUUAUCCGGAUUUAUUGGGUUUAAAGGGAGCGUAGGCUGUUUGUUAAGCGUGUUGUGAAAUGUAAGAGCUCAACUUUUAGAUUGCAGCGCGAACUGGCAGACUUGAGUGCGCACAACGUAGGCGGAAUUCAUGGUGUAGCGGUGAAAUGCUUAGAUAUCAUGACGAACUCCGAUUGCGAAGGCAGCUUACGGGAGCGCAACUGACGCUAAAGCUCGAAGGUGCGGGUAUCGAACAGG
rnacentral:rRNA from 1 species